UACGGAAGGGGCGAGCGUUGUUCGGAAUCAUUGGGCGUAAAGGGCGCGUAGGUGGUUCUGUAUGUCUACCGUGAAAGCGUACGGCUCAACCGUAUUUUGUCGGUAGAAACUGCAGGACUUGAGGCUGGGAGGGGCUGGUGGAAUUCCCUGUGUAGCGGUGAAAUGCGUAGAGAUAGGGGAGAACACUCGUGGCGAAGGCGGCCAGCUAGACCAGUUCUGACACUGAGGCGCGACAGCGUGGGGAGCGAUCCGG
rnacentral:rRNA from 1 species